rnacentral:rRNA from 1 species
CAAUAGCGUAUAUUAAAGUUGUUGCGGUUAAAAAGCUCGUAGUUGGACCUCUGGGAGGGACCCAAUGUCCGCCGUGGUGCGUGCGCAGCGGGGCCCUUCCAUCCUUCUGUUAACGUUUCUCGGUAUUCGCUUACUGGUUUCGGGCUCAGAUAUUUUACCUUAAGAAAAUUAGAGUGUUUCAGGCAGGCUUUCGCCGGAAUACAUUAGCAUGGAAUAAUGGAAAAGGACGUUCAACCUCUUCUGUUGGUCUGAGAGGCUGUAGUAAUGAUUAAUAGGGAUAGUUGGGGGCAUUAGUACUUAACUGUCAGAGGUGAAAUUCUCCGAUUUGUUAAAGACUAACUUAUGCGAAAGCAUUUGCCAAGGAUGUUUUCAUUAAUCAAGAACGAAAGUUAGGGGA